GACGAACGCUGGCGGCGUGCUUAACACAUGCAAGUCGAACGGGAUAAUUUGAGAGCUUGCUCUUAGAGAAUCUAGUGGCAAACGGGUGAGUAACACGUAGACAACCUGCCGACAGGAUGGGGACAACAUUCCGAAAGGAAUGCUAAUACCGAAUGAAGUCGAGGGAGGGCAUCCUCUCUCGAUGAAAGAUGGCCUCUGAAUAUGCUAUCACCUGUCGAUGGGUCUGCGUCUGAUUAGCUAGUUGGUGAGGUAACGGCUCACCAAGGCGACGAUCAGUAGCCGGUCUGAGAGGAUGAACGGCCACAUUGGGACUGAGACACGGCCCAGACUCCUACGGGAGGCAGCAGUGGGGAAUCUUCCGCAAUGGGCGCAAGCCUGACGGAGCAACGCCGCGUGAGUGAAGAAGGUCUUCGGAUCGUAAAGCUCUGUUGAUGGGGACGAACGUGCGAAGGGUGAAUAAUCCUUUGCAAUGACGGUACCUAUCGAGGAAGCCAC
rnacentral:rRNA from 1 species